UUUCCAAAUUUAAAACAUAACUCUCCCCUCUUGUUCUACUUCCCCUCCCCGCCCCAUGUCACCUCAGUCAGGCUGGGUGAAUGAAGAGGGUGAGGCUCUGGAGACUGGGCUGGGGUGUGGCCACCAGGGCUGGGGACCCUCCUCAGAGAAGAGCCAGCAUCAGACAGCAUCAAGCUUCAGAAGGCCCUGCUGGUCUUUGGCUCUCCUUUGUCCCUACAGUCCCAGGUCCUUGCCAUCUGGGGGUGGCACUUUCUCGUCACAGGAUCGUUCUGAAAUCAAGUCCUUAAAAGAGAAUGUUCACAAGAUUGCCUACGACUGCCACGAGGGUCCAUUUUUUAAAAAUUAGGGAUUUAGUAUCAUGAAAAUGUUAGUCAAUAUGAUGAAAGUCCAGUUCUGCCACUUAUUAAGGAUUAUACCUGCAUUUUGAAAUGGUUCCAAAUAGCCCACUUUGGGGUUCAACAUUAGGAAAGAGGCCUAUCAGGUACCCAAAAAAAAAAAAAAAAACCCCUAACACAUUUUUCACCUUUAAUGGCUGCAUUGUAUUCCACUCUGCCUUAAUACACUUAUUUUGUUUGACUGGCCUCCUUAUUGCUGUCUAUUCAGGCAGGGAGUCGCUUGGGGGGAGGGGGGGGGAGAGAUGGGGUGGCCAGGGGAUGGACACUGGGGAGGGUAUGUGCUGUGGUGAGGGCUGUGAAUUGUGUAAGAUUGAUGAUUCACAGGCCAGUACCCCUGAAGCAAAUAACACAUUAUAUGUUAAUUGAAAGAAUUAAAAAAAUGAAGUGAGCACUUUUAAUGUUAUAAUGAGCAUCCUUAAAUAUCUAUCUUGUGCACUGAUCUAAACUGCUGGGUGGAGUGGUACCCACAUUUUAUGUUUUGUUACAUUUUCCCCAAAACCCUCCAAAAUGGCAGCCAAUUUAGACCCUGGUGGGAAAAUUUUGUUGGGUCAGGCUGGUCUUGAGAGUGAGGGGUGAGGACUCAGCUCCUUGCCUUCUGAAGAGACCACAUGGACCAUGUUGGUCAUAGGAAACUCCCAUCACAGACAGUUGGCAGUGCCCACAGAAAGGGGGUCUGGCAACUUGCUUAGUCCCCAAAAGGAGACAAGUCAACAAACUCGAUGGGACCUCAGUGGACAAAACUCCUGGCAACCCCAAAAGCAAGAGAAAAAAAUGCUGCUGAGACACCAAGAGAGUCUUCCAUCUUAAAAACUGCUAUCAGAAGACACUGAUUAUCUAAGUAUUUCACACCAGAUCUUUCUCCUGACACACUGUAACCAACAAAAUGUGUAGAGUUUCCUUCAAAUUACCUUUCCUACUGCUCAUUAUAAUCUGAAGUGAUUUAUAAUAUUUCUAUGAAUCAUACUGGAUAGAUUAUUUUCUUUAAUUCCAGCCAGCAGCUGUUGAAAGCAGACUAAUAAAUAACUACUGUAGAACCCCCCACUGAAUUCUCUGGAAAGGCUGUAAAUAUAUUUAACAAUCCACAGCGUAAACACAUCUCCAGCUCCCAACCAGGAUUGAAUACCUUUCAGAAACUCUGUUAGUUAUGAAUAUAUCUGAAGAAAACACACACACACACACACCCCAAAACUCUAUAGGACACAUCUGAAAUGCCUACUCCUUCCAGAAAAAAAAUACAAACCCCAGAACUUCCUGUUUCCCUUACCUGUGCUUUUAACAAAUGCAGACAUCUGCAAACAGUAGUACCUUUAUAUUACAUUGGAGUUUAUUUAAUGUCCAUUUAAUUUUAGAUACUUUGCCUUAGAGACUAAACAAAGAAUUAUGGAGUUCUCGACUUUCUGGUACAUGUCUCUUACGAGGUUUUUAUUUUUUAUUUUUUAUCAAAAAAGACAAAGUGGAAAAAUAUGAUGCAAAAACUAAAGAACAAAACAAGACAAAAAAUCCCAACCCUGUUUUACCUAACCUCUGCUAGCAGCUGGUCAUGUAAUUUUCAACUGUAUGUUUUAUUUAUUUUCUUGUUCUUGGGCCAAAAGGAGCUUUAACAUGCUGGUGCCUACCAUUUAGUCUGCCCACACUCCGCCCACGGAUGUCAGGGCCACCAGGGCUGGACCAGUAGACCUAGCCAAGGUUUUCAAGGGCCCAGUGGCUCUAGGUAGCCCGGGGCACAGCUACCUUGCUCUCUAUCUGGUUAUCUGUCUCCCAGCUAGGCAUCUAUUUCCUCUCCUCCACUAUGGCACCAGUUAUACCUCCUUCUCAUGCACUGGAGAUCGUCUCUUUGAAAUAAGAAUUAUAUGUAGACAGUAUAUUCUUCACCUGUGGCUGGCACUUAAUCCAGUAUGCAAUUGAGCAAAUAUGCAUACAAAAUCCUCAGGCUUAUUCCUAUCAAUUUCUGAUGUAACGUCUUUCCUCCAGCCGAGACACAGCUAUCAAUGACACCUACCUAGUUCAUUUGUUAUUUCCAUUUGGGCAAAAAAGAAAACAUAAACACUGUAACAGUGAUGAAUACUGAAAUAGGCAGGAUAAAGUAAGGUAGCAUAGGUGAUCUUUAAAGAGCUGAAAAGGGGGUGGGAAAUAAUCUAUGCUGUUUAUCUGCAAUGCACAAACACAAGAGCUUUCUAUCGUGAAGGACACAGAGAAAAAAAGCUUGUAUCUGUUUUUCCUGUUGGUGAAACGUGAGCUUCCGCAAGUUCUGGUUCCUUCCUUGAAUAGCUCUAUUUCUACACCAGUAAAACAAAUGAAAUUGAACUACAUUUAAUGACUGAAACAUUACACUAUGAAAUUCUUCCUUCAGCUAGUUGGACCUCAAACAGGCACAUCCCUGCUCCACAGUAUGGGUUUUGCUGUGUUUAUUCAUCAGAUGUUUCACACCCACUUCUAGACCCCAAGUCUCUUCAGAGGCCUCCAGAAUACAGUGCUGUUGGGAAGGUAAAAAGAGGAUUUCCCAACAAAUGUUUACUACUCAAACAUGCCUGUAAGAGCAAUCACUCCACUCCGAGAAAAAGAUAAAUUGGCAGGAACCACUUGUGGUGUGGGUCCUCCCCCGCCGCCUUUUGUAACAAGGACAGGAGACUUCAAGCCAAAAUCAGGUUACAUUAAAGGAAAGUGAAUUUCCCAUUUAGAACCAAAGAGAAGCAAAACACUAGCCUCAAUUUCCUAAGGAAGGCUUUUUACAGUGACAGCAAAAGAGUCAUAAAGGAAAUAAAAAAAUUUAAAUGACACCUUUCACCGCCAAAAUCUAUGAAUGGAAGGUUGCGGGCGCCUGGGUGGCUCAGUGGAUUAAGCCUCUGCCUUCGGCUCAGCUCAUGAUCUCAGAGUUCUGGGAUCGAGUCCUGCAUCGGGCUCCUUGCUCAGCAGGGAGCCUGCUUACCCCUCUCCCUCUGCUGCUCCCCCCGCUUGUGCUCUCUCUCCUUCUCUCACUCUCUGUCAAAUAAAUAAAUUCUUUAAUAAAUAAAUAAAUAAAUCAGUUAAAAAAAGAGGGAGAGACAUUACAUCUAACCACAGCAUAAUAGACAUUCUUG
rnacentral:lncRNA from 1 species